UAUGUCUGUGGAAAAUCACCUGAGAAUGACAAGGUCAGGUUGUGUAGGAGGGCAGCAGGAUGUGGACAUGUCUUUAGGUGGCCGAAGGGAGGGGGGGAAAAAACACAGAGGCAAAGCUGCAUGACCUAGAUCUCCAGUGCGCUGCCACAGUAGCAGAAUUAAUUCAUUUGAUGUGUUGUUGUGAGCACUGAAGAAGGCCCGAGGCUGAGGAAAUUGUCCACUGAGGCUGCAAAUAUGGAUGACAGAAGCAGCUGAGCAGCCGUGGUUCCAUCAAUUUUGACGAGAUCCCCAACACCUUUCCAUGACAGAGCCUCCACUGUGUUAUUCAAAUGGCUGUAGACACUCACUGUUGUACCUCUCUCCUGACCUCCUAUGAACAUACUGACCAAGCCGCUCUUUCACUGUGUCCUUUGUGAUGUGCCUUCAAUGAACAACAGAUGGAUCAACUGAAUAAAUCUCUCAGGUCCUGUGUCGGGACUUUUUCUCCUGUUUCUUAAGGAGAUGACUUCAGAUGCUGUUCAUCUGCUGAAGACGGCCGGCCACUUCUUUUGUUCUCCACUUGUCUAGUUUCCUCAGAUUUUUUAAGGACAUACUGCACACCAUGCUAAGAUAUGCCAAGAUUCCAGCUAAUAGCUCUUUAGAAAUGACCUUGAUGAAGCAACAAUAUCAUUAUGUACACAUCCAACUAUGUUAUCUUUGGCAUUUUUCAUAGACUCAAAUAAAGAAAUGCAAACUUUUUA